AGGACGAACGCUGGCGGCGUGCUUAACACAUGCAAGUCGAACGGUGAAAGAGAGCUUGCUCUCUGGAUCAGUGGCGAACGGGUGAGUAACACGUGAGUAACCUGCCCUUGACUCUGGGAUAAGCACUGGAAACGGUGUCUAAUACCGGAUACGACCUACGAAGGCAUCUUCUGUAGGUGGAAAGAAUUUUGGUCAAGGAUGGACUCGCGGCCUAUCAGCUAGUUGGUGAGGUAAUGGCCCACCAAGGCGACGACGGGUAGCCGGCCUGAGAGGGUGACCGGCCACGACUGGGACUGAGACACGGCCCAGACUCCUACGGGAGCAGCAGUGGGAAUAUUGCACAAUGGGCGCAAGCCUGAUGCAGCAACGCCGCGUGAGGGACGACGGGACCUUCGGGUUGUAAACCUCUUUUAGUAGGAGAAGCGAAAGUGACGUACCUGCAGAAAACGCACCGCUAACUACGUGCCAGCAGCCGC
rnacentral:rRNA from 1 species